rnacentral:rRNA from 1 species
GACGAACGCUGGCGGCGUGCUUAACACAUGCAAGUCGAACGGUAAGGCCCUUCCGGUGGUAGAUGCGCGGCGGACGGGCGGGUGAGACAUGAGUAACUGGCCCUCCGCUUUGUGAUAACUGACGGCAACGGUGGACAGUACCGAAUAUGACUUAACCACGCAUGUGGGGUGGUGGGAAGCCUUCGGGUGGUGGGGGAUGGGCGCGCGGAGUAUCAGCUUGUUGGUGGGGGGUUGGCCUACCAACGCUUAGACGGGUAGCCGGCCUGAGAGGGUGACCGGCCACACUGGGACUGAGAGACGGCCCAGACUCCUACGGGAGGCAGCAGUGGGGAAUAUUGUACAAUGGGCGAAAGCCUGAUCCAGCAACGCCGCGUUAGGGAUGACGGCCUUCGGGUUGUAAACCUCUUUCGCCUGCGACGAAGCGUGAGUGACGGUAGCAGGUAAAGAAGCACCGGCUAACUACGUG